rnacentral:ncRNA from 1 species
CCUUAUCAAGAGAGGUGGAGGGAUCGGCCCUAUGAAGCCCGGCAACCUGCGUGCGCGCAAGGUGCCAAGUCCGACGGCGUAUCAGAUCGAGAGAUGAGG